UACGUAGGGGGCAAGCGUUGUCCGGAUUUAUUGGGCGUAAAGCGCGUGUAGGCGGCCAGGUAGGUCGGUUGUGAAAAUUGGAGGCUCAACCUCCAGACGUCGAUCGAAACCAUCUGGCUAGAGUCCGGAAGAGGAGAGUGGAAUCCUGGUGUAGCGGUGAAAUGCGCAGAGUAUCAGGAAGAACACCUAUGGCGAAGGUAGACUCUCGUGGGACGGUACUGACGCUGAGACGACGAAAGCGUGGGGAGCGAACAGG
rnacentral:rRNA from 1 species